CCUACGGGAGGCUGCAGUGAGGAAUAUUGGUCAAUGGACGAGAGUCUGAACCAGCCAAGUAGCGUGAAGGAUGACUGCCCUAUGGGUUGUAAACUUCUUUUAUAUGGGAAUAAAACGUUCCACGUGUGGGAUUUUGUAUGUACCAUAUGAAUAAGGAUCGGCUAACUCCGUGCCAGCAGCCGCGGUAAUACGGAGGAUCCGAGCGUUAUCCGGAUUUAUUGGGUUUAAAGGGAGCGUAGGUGGAUUGUUAAGUCAGUUGUGAAAGUUUGCGGCUCAACCGUAAAAUUGCAUUUGAAACUGGCAGUCUUGAGUACAGUAGAGGUGGGCGGAAUUCGUGGUGUAGCGGUGAAAUGCUUAGAUAUCACGAAGAACUCCGAUUGCGAAGGCAGUUCACUGGACUGCAACUGACACUGAGGCUCGAAAGUGUGGGUAUCAAACAGGAUUAGAUACCCCAGUAGUC
rnacentral:rRNA from 1 species